GAUGAAGAACGCAGUGAAAUGCGAUAAGUAAUGUGAAUUGCAGAAUUCAGUGAAUCAUCGAAUCUUUGAACGCACAUUGCGCCCCUUGGUAUUCCGAGGGGCAUGCCCGUUCGAGCGUCAUUAUACCCCUCAAGCCUAGCUUGGUGUUGGGGCCUGCUGUUACCGGCAGCCCUUAAAAUCAGUGGCGGUGCCAUCUGGCUCUAAGCGUAGUAAUACUUCUCGCUACAGGGUCCCGGUGGAUGCUUGCCAUCAACCCCUAAUUUUCUAUGGUUGACCUCGGAUCGGGUAGGGAUACCCGCUGAACUUAAGCAUAUCAAUAAGCGGAGGA
rnacentral:misc_RNA from 1 species